rnacentral:lncRNA from 1 species
UCCUUCCUCCCACAUCUCCACCCAUCCCCUCUCCACCCAAUAUUCACCACAUUUUCAUUUCUGACUGUCUUCCCCAGCAGCUAUUAGUGAUGAUGACUCAACGACAUGCUCCUGGUCCAGAAAGAAAGGGAGUGAUCCCUCUCGAUUCCGGUACAGAUUUGGGAGAAGGGGUUUCCUUUUUUCUAAAACCUCAAUGAGCUGCUGUUUCUACCUGGGGAGACCCUGGCUGCGCUUCUGUGACUAUGAGCCGUGGCCAAAAGAGAAGAACCUGAUGGAUGUGGCCGGCGUGAUUAAUAGCAGCCUGUCUGAGAGUGGCGAGUGACGGA